GCGCCCGGGGCUUCGAGGGCAUCGCGCGGCGCCUGUGGCCGCAGCUGCAGGUGGUGGUGCUGGGGAUGGCGCAUGGAGGGGAGCGGCUCUACUGCGAUGCCCUGCGGCAGGAGGACUGCAAGGGGCUCCCCUUCUACUGCCCCUUCUACCGGGCGGCCGGAGGUGAGUGUCCCCGGCCGGGGACCCGCUGCGGGGACCCACCGCUGCACGGCAGCGCAAACCCUCCUCGCCCUACCCCAGGAGCGGUGCAUCUCCCUGCAACGCUCCUCGACGGAGACCCGCGGGCUUCUCCGAAAACGGCCGCGUUUGGGACCGUUUCCUCCCCUCGGAGCGGGCGAGUGGGGCGCCGGCGGGGCCGGGGUUCUCCGCUGACCGGCACCGCCUCUCCGCGCAGCGCUGCUCGGCGUGAACCUGUGGCCGGAGGAGCUGAGCGCCCGCUUUCUGCUCUGCCCCGACUGGGCCUUCUGCGAGUUCCUGCCCUGCGCGGCUGAGGAGGCGACGGCGACGGCGACGGCGCUGCUGGGGGAGCUCUGGGAGGGCCGGGAGUACGGGCUGGUCCUCACCGCCCGGCCCGGCGAGUACAGGUGCCUCCUCGCCCCGCCGCGGGUGGGCUGCAUCCCGCGCUGGCCCCGGCCCCCCGUCACGCUGCCUUCCGCCCCGYGCAGGUGCCGCGCGGGAGAGGUGCUGCGGGUGGCCGGGUUUCACAAGCAGUGUCCCGUGGUGGAGCCCGUGCGCAGGUGGGGACCGCCGAGGGGGUCCGUCCCGCGGGGCGGCGCGGCGGGAGGGAGCCGGCAGCAUCUCCCGGCGCCCACGGGGCCUCUGCUCCGCAGGGAGAGCCAGACGCUGAGCGUGCGGGGCGAGAGCAUCCCCGAGGAGCGGUUUCUGCAGAGCCUGCGCCGCGCCGUGGCCCUGUGGCCGGGGGCUCGCCUGGUCGACUACGUGUGCGUGGAGAGCGUCCUGCUGGGCGCCUCCUCGGGGGCCUGCGCCCCCCAUUACCAGGUGUUCGUGGAGCUGCGGGGCCUGCGGGACCUGUCGGAGGGGCAGCGCUACAAGCUGGACCACUGCCUCCAGGAGGAUUUCCCCACCUACAAGUCCUUCCGCUUCAAGGGCAGCAUUGGGCCCCUGCGGCUGCACCUGGUGGCGGCGGGGGCCUUCGCCCGGCUGCGGGAGGCCGCGGGCCGCCCCCGGCCCAUGCCCAGGGUGCUGCGGGAGAGGCGGCUGCUCGCCGCCAUCCAGAGCGCCGUCGUCUCCUAGGGCGGCCCGGGCUCCCCGCGGCCUGGCUGCCACUCGGAGGACGCGCCCCGCGGCCGGCACGGCCCGUCCUUGCACGGCGAGGGCCUGGGGACCCGCCAUGCGCGGCGGUGGGGCAGCGCUCGAGCACAUCCCGCCCGGCACCCCGGCUCCGGACGGCAGGGGCUGCCCGGUGGCACAGGCGCUGCCGGGCCCUGCCGAGGCUGCAGCGCGGAUGCGGAGGGGCGCGUGGUUUCCCCCCCCGCGCGGGGACACAAGGCAGCGCCCCRAUAACCCGCCGAGCCCCGCUGCCGGGUUGGGGCCAGACCGCGGCUGCUCCCACGUGGGAGCCGCCUCUGAGCCGGGCUCCAGGGAAUUUCCGCUGGUUUAGGAAACAAUAAGGGCUGCUUUUAAUAUUAAAAAAAAAGAAGUGAAAUAAAGGAGGAUUAUCUCUCA
ensembl:lncRNA GH3 domain containing